AUACGUAGGGGGCAAGCGUUAUCCGGAAUUACUGGGCGUAAAGGGUGCGUAGGUGGCCUGAUAAGUCAGGGGUCAAAGGCAACGGCUCAACCGUUGUAAGCCCUUGAAACUAUCGGGCUUGAGUUCAGGAGAGGAAAGCGGAAUUCCAAGUGUAGCGGUGAAAUGCGUAGAUAUUUGGAGGAACACCAGUGGCGAAGGCGGCUUUCUGGACUGAUACUGACACUGAGGCACGAAAGCGUGGGGAGC
rnacentral:rRNA from 1 species